UACAGAGGUCUCAAGCGUUGUUCGGAUUCAUUGGGCGUAAAGGGUGUGUAGGUGGCGCCGUAAGUCGGGUGUGAAAUCUCGGGGCUUAACUCCGAAACUGCAUUCGAUAACUGCGGUGCUUGAGGACUGGAGAGGAGACGUGGAAUUCAUGGUGAGCAGUGAAAUGCGUAGAGAUCAAUGAGGACACCGGUGGUGUAGACG
rnacentral:rRNA from 1 species